rnacentral:rRNA from 1 species
GGGUCAGUAGGUUGGUCGUGCCACCGGUACGUACUGGUCUCACUGAUUCCUCCCUCCUGAAGAACCGUAAUGCCAUUAAUUUGGUGUUGCGGGGAAACAGGACUGUUACUUUGAAAAAAUUAGAGUGUUUAAAGCAAGCUAACGCUUGAAUACAUUAGCAUGGAAUAAUGAAAUAGGACGAUCGAUCCUAUUUUGUUGGUUUCUAGGAUUGACUUA